GACGAACGCUGGCGGCGUGCUUAACACAUGCAAGUCGAACGGAAAGGCCCUGCUUUUGUUGGUUGCUCGAGUGGCGAACGGGUGAGUAACACGUGAGUAACCUACCCUUGACUUUUGUAUAACUUCAGGAAACUGGGGCUAAUACCGGAUAGGAUCUCCUGCUUCUUUGUGGUGGUUGGACAGUUUCGGCGGUUGGGUAUGGACUCGCGGCUUAUCAGCUUGUUGGUGGGGUAGUGGCUGACCAAGGCUUUGAAGGGUAGCCGGCCUGAGAGGGUGAGCGGCAACAUUGGGACUGAGAUACGGCCCAGACGUCGAGGGGAGGCAGCAGUGGGGAAUAUUGCAAAAUGGGCGGAAGCCGGAUGCAGCAACGCCGCGUGCGGGAUGAAGGCCUUCGGGUUGUAAACCGCUUUCGCCUGUGACGAAGCGGGAGUGACGGUAAUGGGUAAAGAAGCACCGGCUAACUACGUG
rnacentral:rRNA from 1 species